GGAAAUUAAUUAAAGGUCUUUUGCAUGCUUUUCCACGGCUUUCUUGAACUUAAUUAGUACGGUUAAUUUUUUUGUGCUAUUAACAAGCAAUUAAUAUGCAAAUCUUUAAUCAGUGCAAAGCUCAAGAAUGCCGUGGGAAAACAUGAAAGGUUUUUGUCGUGCCACCACCC
rnacentral:pre_miRNA from 1 species